AAUCACUGGGCGUAAAGCGCGCGCAGGCGGCCUUUUAAGUUGGAUGUGAAAGCCUAUGGCUCAACCAUAGAACUGCAUCCAAAACUAUUGGGCUAGAGUGUGGGAGAGGAAGAUGGAAUUAGUUGUGUAGGGGUAAAAUCCGUAGAGAUAACUAGGAAUACCAAAAGCGAAGGCAAUCUUCUGGAACAUUACUGACGCUGAGGCGCGAAAGCGUGGGGAGCAAACAGGAUUAGAUACCCUGGUAGUCCACGCCCUAAACGAUGAAUGUUAGUCGUCGGGUAGCUAGUCUAUUCGGUGAUGCAGCUAACGCAUUAAACAUUCCGCCUGGGGAGUACGGUCGCAAGAUUAAAACUCAAAGGAAUAGACGGGGACCCGCACAAGUGGUGGAGCAUGUGGUUUAAUUCGAAUACGCGAAGAACCUUACCUAGCCUUGACAUAUAUUAGAACACUUUAGAGAUAGAGUGGUGCCUUCGGGAGCUUUUAUACAGGUGCUGCAUGGCUGUCGUCAGCUCGUGUCGUGAGAUGUUGGGUUAAGUCCCGCAACGAGCGCAACCCUCGUCACUAGUUACUAACGGUUCGGCCGAGGACUCUAGUGAGACUGCCUUCGUAAGGAGGAGGAAGGUGAGGACGACGUCAAGUCAUCAUGGCCCUUACGGCUAGGGCAACACACGUGCUACAAUGGCCAGGACAAUGAGAAGCGAUACCGCGAGGUGGAGCAAAUCUAUAAACCUGGUCUCAGUUCGGAUUGUAGUCUGCAACUCGACUACAUGAAGCUGGAAUCAC
rnacentral:rRNA from 1 species